CCUACGGGGUGCUGCAGUGGGGAAUAUUGGACAAUGGGCGAAAGCCUGAUCCAGCCAUGCCGCGUGUGUGAAGAAGGCCUUCGGGUUGUAAAGCACUUUCAGUGGGGAAGAAAGCCUUGGGGCUAAUACCCUCGAGGAAGGACAUCACCCACAGAAGAAGCACCGGCUAACUCCGUACCAGCAGCCGCGGUAAUACGGAGGGUGCGAGCGUUAAUCGGAAUUACUGGGCGUAAAGCGCGCGUAGGCGGUCUGAUAAGCCGGUUGUGAAAGCCCCGGGCUCAACCUGGGAACGGCAUCCGGAACUGUCAGGCUAGAGUGCAGGAGAGGAAGGUAGAAUUCCCGGUGUAGCGGUGAAAUGCGUAGAGAUCGGGAGGAAUACCAGUGGCGAAGGCGGCCUUCUGGACUGACACUGACGCUGAGGUGCGAAAGCGUGGGUAGCAAACAGGAUUAGAUACCCGAGUGUC
rnacentral:rRNA from 1 species